CAAUAGCGUAUAUUAAAGUUGUUGCGGUUAAAAAGCUCGUAGUUGGAUUUCGGAUGGGUGCGACCGGUCCGCCGUUUCGGUGUGCACUGGUUGCGUCUAUCUUGCUGUCGGGGACGCGCUCCUGGCCUUAACUGGCUGGGACGCGGAGUCGGCGAAGUUACUUUGAAAAAUUAGAGUGUUCAAAGCAGGCCUACGCUUGAAUACAUUAGCAUGGAAUAAUGGAAUAGGACUUUGGUCUUAUUUGUUGGUUUAUGGGACCGAAGUAAUGAUUAACAGGGACAGUUGGGGCCGUUUAUAUUUCGUUGUCAGAGGUGAAAUUCUUGGAUUUACGAAAGAUAAACUUCUGCGAAAGCAUUCGGCAAGGAUGUUUUCAUUGAUCAAGAACGAAAGUUAGGGGAUCGAAGAUGAUUAGAUACCGU
rnacentral:rRNA from 1 species